UUCCAAGUUUAAAAUGAUAAACAUUCAACAUUGGCCAUGCUGUCAAUGAAGCAUGAUUUGUGCUGUGCUCAAAACAACUGUUAACUAGGAACUGCGAAGACUUGACUUCAGCGAGUUCAAGACAACUGGGAAGUCGGGAAAUAACACGCUCCGACUGGGAAAAUAGGUUUUGAAAGGUCAUCCAACUCGGAAUUGUAAAUCCGGCCUUUUUUCAAGAGCUACGACCUGAAGAUCAAUGACGUCAUCAUGAUUCGAUCUUGUUUUUUUCCGGAGUUCCCAGUUGUCUUGAUAGCACCAUAAACCCAGAGAAUACCAGGCUUUGAUGACAAAAGUUGCCCACGAAGGACUGCCGCGCCACCUUCCUGUUCAAGUGAGCUCAACAAGGAUGGCGAUAUUCUCCAGCCUGCGCCCAGGGUCCCUUGGCUUCCAGUAUCUCCUCCCAUGUCCACUAGUCCAGAAAACGCUGCUUGGUCUUCUUGUGGUGGGAUCUUCUGUAACGCUCGUCUGAAGAAGUGGACCAAGAUGCAGCGUGGGGUGUAAAAGAAACAAACUGGACAAGUAGAUGCACAAUGGAUUAUGAUCACUGUAGUUAAUUACCUUUAUGUGCUAAACUAUGUUGGACAUUGGCCUGUUGGAAACUACAACUCCCUACUACAUUUCCAGGCUGGAUCACAACCGGCUGUGAAUGGGAGUCCCAUAGGGCGGCGCCCAAUUGGCCCAGCAUCGUCAGGGUUAGUGUUUGUCUGGGGUAGGCCGUCAUUGUGAAUAAGAAUUUGUUCUUAACUGACUUGCCUAGUUACAUAAGGGAAGAAAAACUUUGCAAAGUUCAGGCUGGAUCUGAUUUAUCUCUAGAGAAACUGUGCAAUGUGGGCAUUGAGCUCACCGGAAACAAAAAACAGAACGAAAUGGAAUUCAAAUAGUUGAAACAAUGUUGGUCAAUUAGUUGUUUGAAAACAGAAAAAUAACCAACAUUUCGGUUAAUCGCUCAGCACUAAACUGGAAUAACUAAUUAAUUGAUUGAAUUGUGUCCUGUACAUCUCACUGAUUGCCUCCAUGUCUAUCUCUUUGAAUAAAAAACCUUCAGCAUCACCUUGUCUCGGUGUGAUCA